UCCUUGAGUCUCCCAGUCACAGCGACCAUCUUCCCGCGCCACUCCGCUGGGAUACAAGAAAGGCCUUCCCUCUUGAGUUCCCGCAAUGGGUCCCGCAGGUGCUCGUCUCCUACGUCACCACUCGAUUGGUCAAUGGAGAGUGGAAAGAAUACCCUCUUGCCAGAUGGUAUAGAAUGACUGAUAGCUUCUGAUUGGUGAAAAAGGAGAGCCCGUAGGCGCUCUCUGGCGCAAUCUAGGAACGGUCCCCGUAAAGGGCGCAUGCGCUACUGUACUUUGGGGGGGGGGGGUCUCCGUAAAAGAGGUGACUCUCAGGGAUAAGACUACUGGACUACCCAGACGAUCUUUUGCGUGCCUGUUGUUUGCAAGCUCCCCAACUCUAGACCAAGACAGCAAUUUAAAGCAGCUAUAACCCAUUAGAACGUUUACUUCACCUUUACUCUAUCCUAAACUGGAAGUUACUCUUUUUUUUAAAAGAGAACCUCCAAAUCUGAGCACUUCUCACUAAUAAAGCACUCGGUGCCUAACAGGCACCGUCAUUUCACCCUAAAUUCAGUCACCUUGGCAGAUCUUUAUAGUUUAACUCGGUUCGCACGAGGCAGCUGAGCACCCCGCGUUCUCGAGAGUGCUUUGUGGCCUAGACUCGCUCCUUGGAGAUUGCCUUGAAGCGAUUGGUCUCCCUCCGAGGAUCCUGGAAGCCUGAAGUGAGCGAGCAGGGAACGCACUGACACUAGGGAGUCAGACUCUGCGACGUAGCUCAGCAAUGGAGCGCUUGCCUAGCACAGACACGGCACAUCUCUACCCCGGCCACACACAGACACACACAGGUCUUCAGACGGUUUAAGAUUCACAGGCCGCCCCAAAACGUGCUGUGGCCUUUCCACCAGGUCAUUCCCAAAGCGGACAUCCGCUUGGGACUAAGUUUGAAAUGUGAGUAAAAGCUCAGAGAACGGAACCCCGUGUGUUGGGAGAAGUUUUGAGCAUGGCGUGGUGGUUGCAAGCCUAUAAUUCCAGCGCUCUGGAGUCGGGCAGGACUGCCUUGAGUUCGGGGCUUUCCUGGGCUACCCAGGGAUUCUCCUAAUUAAAAAAGUUUGGAAGCGGUGGAGGCUGAUGAGGAUAUAAAUGGACCUCCACCAAUUUCACCGGACACACACACUCCAAAGCAGGAACUCCCAAGAUGGGGUACGCCGCCGCGGCGCAGCAGGUUAUAGCCAAGGAAAGAAGUAAUGAAAGCAGGCCAGGAAACUGGAACACUUUGCCUUAAAGGCUACCUGGAGGGCCAUGGAUUCCCGUCGAAUGCUGGGACCACAGUGGGACAGAAAGGGUUAUGAAAUGAGCCUCCUUGCUGUUGGCCUGCUAAAUUGGCUAAUCCUCCCUAGUGGUACAAGGACAAAGCCAGCUCAGCUACUGAAGCCGCUUCUUGAUGUAGUCUAACCUUGAAACCUGGCCUCCUAGCCAGAACUUCAGGGUGCCAUCAGCACACCUCACUUCUCCGCUCUUGAAGUAGUCUCAGUUCUCGGAGAACUGAGUAUGAGGCCAUCCUCCAAUUGUAAUGCAUCGAGGACCAGCCUGAGCACAUGAGAUCCUGUCUUCUCAAGAAACAAGAACAAGGGCUGGAGGGAUGGCUCAGAGGUCAAGAACACUGACUGCUCUUCCCGAGGUCCUGAGUUCAAAUCCCAGCAACCACAUGGUGGCUUACAACCAUCUGUAAUGAGAUCUGAUGCCCUCUUCUGCUGUGUCUGAAGACAGUGAAAGUGUGCGCUUAUAUAGAAUAAAUAAAUCUUUUUAAAAAAGAAACACAAACAAACAAACAAA